rnacentral:rRNA from 1 species
AGCAGCCGCGGUAAUUCCAGCUCCAAUAGCGUAUAUUAAAGUUGUUGCAGUUAAAAAGCUCGUAGUUGAAUUUCGGGGUUCUACCGUUGGUCGGGCAAUAGUCUGUACUGGCGUGUAGAAUUUCUACCUUCUGGGGAACUAUUAUGUUAUUUAUUUAGCGUGGUAGGAAACCAGGACCUUUACCUUGAAAAAUUAGAGUGUUCAAAGCAGGCUUACGUCUGAAUACAUUAGCAUGGAAUAAUAAAAUAGGACGGUGGUCCUGUUUUGUUGGUUUCUGAAUCACCGUAAUGAUUAAUAGGGAUAGUUGGGGGCAUUAGUAUUCAAUUGUCAGAGGUGAAAUUCUUGGAUUUAUUGAAGACUAACUUCUGCGAAAGCAUUUGCCAAGGAUGUUUUCAUUAAUCAAGAACGAAAGUUAGGGAUCGAAGACGAUCAGAUACCGUCGUAGUCUUAACCAUAAACUAUGCCGACUAGGGAUCGGACGAUGUUAAAUUUU